GAGUAAUGUCUGGGAAACUGCCCGAUGGAGGGGGAUAACUACUGGAAACGGUAGCUAAUACCGCAUAACGUCGCAAGACCAAAGUGGGGGACCUUCGGGCCUCACACCAUCGGAUGUGCCCAGAUGGGAUUAGCUAGUAGGUGGGGUAAUGGCUCACCUAGGCGACGAUCCCUAGCUGGUCUGAGAGGAUGACCAGCCACACUGGAACUGAGACACGGUCCAGACUCCUACGGGAGGCAGCAGUGGGGAAUAUUGCACAAUGGGCGCAAGCCUGAUGCAGCCAUGCCGCGUGUAUGAAGAAGGCCUUCGGGUUGUAAAGUACUUUCAGCGGGGAGGAAGGCGGUGAAGUUAAUAGCUUCACCGAUUGACGUUACCCGCAGAAGAAGCACCGGCUAACUCCGUGCCAGCAGCCGCGGUAAUACGGAGGGUGCAAGCGUUAAUCGGAAUUACUGGGCGUAAAGCGCACGCAGGCGGUCUGUCAAGUCGGAUGUGAAAUCCCCGGGCUUAACCUGGGAACUGCAUUCGAAACUGGCAGGCUAGAGUCUUGUAGAGGGGGGUAGA
rnacentral:rRNA from 1 species